CUUUGUUAUGAGGUUUUUUAAAAAUAUAUCAGUGCUUUGUACAUUGAAAACAUCAUCGAUUCUUUUUCGAAAAACGAAAAAUUAUCAACAUUUUCUCAUUCGCAAAUUAAAAAUAUUGUCCUUCUACAAUGUAAAUUAUUGUUAGAAAAAAUUAUGUGAAAUUCCUAUAAAGUCGGUGGUUGUACGAGGUGAAAUCUAUAAUAUCGUUUUGAACUGAGCAGUCACGUGGUGGUAUCACAGAUUAGUCUGUGGUGGUAUUCCCUCUUAAUAUUUCCUGAUAACGGUGUCAUAAUUGAAAUUUCCAAAUUACUACCCUCUUUUCAACAACAUCAGGAGCUUGUUAUAAAGAAUGCUAAUUGUUUCAGGUUUUUCUAGAUCUUUAUAAGUCCCCCAGAAGCUAAAGCUUCAGUUCAUUGAUGAUAUAAUUAUUAUGAUAAAACAUUACACGUCGAAUUCUAAAAAAAAAUAAUCUCUUUAAAUAAUUACAUUUGAUUCAGUUGAAAUGAACAUUUUAUUGGUUACAAUUGCUCAAACAAUUACAAUAAUAAUCCUAGUAUAGCAGAUAACUGAUAGUAUGUUCCAACAUAAGUUAACAAUAAUAUAUGCGAAAGUUACACAAAUCUGAAUGAAAAACAAAUGAAGAUUGCAAUGAUAACAUUGUAGACAUAAAAAUAUCUCCAGUGAUGAUGCUGGGCAAUAAGGACAUGCUGAUCUCUGUGGAGUAUGGGAAUGGUAGUGAUGCCACCUAUUGGUCACCUGCUUUGAGCAACAUUUACAUCUCCAUAGAAGCACACUGGAACCAGAUGCUUCAAACAUUCCAUUGUACGAUAUUUGAAGGCUAGUUAUUUCUGUGAACAUCCAAACAUGAAACCUUAAAGCUAUUUCACGAGAUAAUCUAGUUACCUGACCAUUUUUGAAUGUGGAUAAUUCAAGAGCUAUUACUACAGGUCUUCACAGAAUUGCAAUCAUGCAUAGCUCUACAUAAUUUGAAAAAAAAUCAAUUUUUUUCGUUCCAAAAAAGGACUAGAAAGAAGCAGAAAAUUCCAUUUUUCUUCAAAUGUGUCUAAGUACUUACUGAUUAGGAAAAUCUUAUAAGUUUUUGUCAGACGUUAUCCACGCAGUAUUAUUAUUAUUGUAGUCAAUAUUAUACAGAUAUAAUUUUCUUAUUACGAAAAGUGGUAUUUACAUAAGUGUCAUUAAUGUGAGUACAAUAAAUAUUCUCUUCAACUACAGAUCUUAUAUUUUAAUAAUUCCUAACUACCUGGGAUUGAAAAAAGGUUCAAAUAAUCCACCAAAUUUUUUUCAACUGCAACAGCGUUUAUUAUCAAAAUAUUGAAAAGUAGAUAAUAUUGCCUUACUUAUCCAAAACACAAUCAAUUAGUUUCGAAAUUGAUAAUCUAUAAAUAAAUAUUUGAUAUAUUCUUUCUUGACUAUACAGUGAGUAUAUUAAAACCUAUAAUCGAUGUAAAGUUUUGUUAAAUUAUUUACAGAACUCCCCACUACUAAAAUCGAAGUUUCUGUGAAGUAUAAAAAUACAUUCUUAAUAAUGGCACAUAUAUUAUAUAUACAUGAUCAGAGAUUGUUUCAAAAAAUUACACCAUUUACAAAUUGAAAAAAGCCUUGGUUUUCUAAUAUGGUAUAUAAUUGGAGAUUUGAUGAGAAGGAUAGGAAGGAACUUAAAAAACAGAAGAUAGAAUUUCAUUACACUGCAGUGUUCUUUUCAAUAUUCUUACAACUGAUCUCAAUAAUUUUAUAUUAGAAAACCUAGGUUAUAUAAUGAAUGAAAAGCUCUGAAAAAUGUAAAGAAAAAUCUAAUUCACAGCCUAUAAAAUUGAAACUCGGGGAUUAAUAUCAAAAAGAUUUAUAUUAAUGGUCAUGCAAAAUAUGAUCAGGAAAACUAAAGGCCUCUGAAUUAGAUUCUUACCAUAAAAUGUGAUGAAUUAAAUCAUCUGAAGACAUGCAGAUGUCUUUAACUUUGGCUCAAUUGAAAUAUGGUUUAAAUAAAGGUCAAUCUGAACAAUGUCUGCAUGACUCCAUCGCAUGAUCUAAUUCCAAUAUAUAUAUAUAUCUAUAUAUUCUGUACAGAAUGAUAUAUGAAUGUGAGGGAUCUGCAACAUACAUAAAUAUGACUAGUAAGAUUUGGUUUAACAU